rnacentral:rRNA from 1 species
CCUACGGGGGGCUGCAGUGGGGAAUAUUGGACAAUGGGGGCAACCCUGAUCCAGCCAUGCCGCGUGUGUGAAGAAGGCCCUCGGGUUGUAAAGCACUGUCAGUGAGGAAGAACGCCUGGUGGUUAAUACCCAUCAGGAAAGACAUCACUCACAGAAGAAGCACCGGCUAACUCCGUGCCAGCAGCCGCGGGAAUACGGAGGGUGCGAGCGUUAAUCGGAAUUACUGGGCGUAAAGCGCGCGUAGGUGGCUUGAUAAGCCGGUUGUGAAAGCCCCGGGCUCAACCUGGGAACGGCAUCCGGAACUGUCAAGCUAGAGUGCAGGAGAGGAAGGUAGAAUUCCCGGUGUAGCGGUGAAAUGCGUAGAGCUCGGGAGGAAUACCAGUGGCGAAGGCGGCCUUCUGGACUGACACUGACACUGAGGUGCGAAAGCGUGGGUAGCAAACAGGAUUAGAUACCCGUGUAGUC